rnacentral:rRNA from 1 species
GUCUACAGUCAUACCACCCUGACCGCGUCCAAUCUCGUCUGAUCUCGGAAGGUAAGCAGGGUCGGGCGUGGUUAGUACAUGGAGGGAAGAGAGUACUCCUCCUAAAUC